rnacentral:misc_RNA from 1 species
ACCUAUAAAUAAUGGCCUUUAUGUUAACAGCUGUUAUUUGAAACCAUGAUUAGAAAGUAUUUCAAAAACAUUCCCAAAAUAAAUCCACCAGUGGAUGAACCAAGAUGGAAAAUUGGUUGGAUAGGAUUUUGUAAAGAAGAAAACCACGAACGUGCCCAAUUACAAAUAAAGAUGGUAUUGUGCCAGGCAAAUUUGUAAUUAAAAUAGUUAUAAGAGUGAGGUGAAAAAGGAAUAGAAAAUGUUUUCCAUGUGUACAAAUUCUAAUUUUAAUCUGACACAGUUGAAAUUAGAAUCCGACACAGAUUCUGAUUCCAAAAAGAUCAAAAGUAUGUUCAAGUUCAUUGGAUUUUAAACCAACUAACAUUAGUUUAUAAAACUUUUGAGUUCUGUAAGGGCGUUUAGAAAUAAAAUACUGAUUGAACUGGAAAAGUUCUUGUAUAACCUUUUGGUAAUUCAGAUUUCUUCCAUUGAAGAUUUGAAAUAUGCUUAGCUGCCAAUUUAGUAAAAUAUUUGGUGUAAUAAAAAAAUUUAUUUGGAUAGUUACUUAAUGCUUGUAAAUAAUUUGUGCCAAAUUUAGUUUGAGAGAGAUGGUUUUGAGGAUGAAAAGGUUGGGAAACAAGUAAUUUGAAACAUUUGAAUGUAAAAUUUGAAAUCUAUUCUCGGUAGGAAUAGAGCUUUAUGCGUAAUCACUACUGGAUACUUUUUUCUUAAUGGA